GAACGCCGUGUGCCGUGAAAGUGGCCCGCACGGUGUAGGCUCGAACGAAAACCCACAAUAUAGAGAUGGGUAUAAGUCGGGAAUAGCACAAAGAAAAUCAAUGAUUUUGCUCAAGACAGUUUUUUUGGUAGUCCGGAGUACGGUAAUGCUAUAGAUUUCUCCUUCACGAUAC
rnacentral:misc_RNA from 1 species